AAGAAAAAGAAGAAGAAGAAGAAAUGGCGAAUGGUGGAGAGGUGGCUAAAACACGCCUGUUUGUUGAUGAUAUUUUUCCUAAUUAACAAAGCUCUUAUUCAUUCACUUAAUAAUAAAAAGAAGCGUCAGCUUUCAAGUCACAACUGAUGACACGGAAAUCUGAAGCGAGGAUUUGGAAACCGCUUACAUAAGGAGGAGAAGAAAUCUCCAGAAGGGAGGGAGAGAAAGGCGAACAGUACUAACGUGCGCAGCAGGUGGUAGUUAUAUUACUCCGGUUUAGUAGAAAGGACGCAAAGAGAUAGAAGAGAGGUAGGAGACGCUAGCCACGUAACACCUGUCACAGGGGUUUCGCAGAGGGAGUUGGAUCUGGUGUUUU
rnacentral:misc_RNA from 1 species